ACGUCCUGACGGGAGGCAGCAGGUGGGAAUAUUGCACGAAUGGGCGCAAGCCUGAUGCAGCCAUGCCGCGUGUGUGAAGAAGGCCUUCGGGUUGAUAAAGCACUUUCAGUCGUGAGGAAGGUAGUGUAGUUAAUAGCUGCAUUAUUUGACGUUAGCGACAGAAGAAGCACCGGCUAACUCCGUGCCAGCAGCCGCGGUAAUACGGAGGGUGCGAGCGUUAAUCGGAAUUACUGGGCGUAAAGCGCAUGCAGGUGGUUUGUUAAGUCAGAUGUGAAAGCCCGGGGCUCAAGCCUCGGAAUUGCAUUUGAAAC
rnacentral:rRNA from 1 species